rnacentral:rRNA from 1 species
CCGUUAAAAAGUUUAAUUUUGGGCUCAUCCAGUUUAUCAGCCACCGAAUACUUAGCAUGGGAUAAUGGAAUAGGACCCUGUCCUCCUAUUUUCAGUUGGUUUUGGCAGCGCGAGGACUAGGGUAAUGAUUAAUAGGGAUAGUUGGGGGCAUUAAUAUUUAAUUGUCAGAGGUGAAAUUCUUGGAUUUAUGAAAGAUUAACUUCUGCGAAAGCAUCUGCCAAGGAUGUUUUCAUUAAUCAAGAACGAAAGUUAGGGGAUCGAAGACGAUCAGAUACCGUCGUAGUCUUAACCAUAAACGAUGCCGACCAGCGAUUAGGAGACGUUGAAUACAAAACACCACCAUCGGUUGCGGUCGUCCUUGGCGUCUCGGUUUCGGCCGGGGCGCGGGGAUGGCUUAGCCCGGUGGCCCGGUGAAUGACUCCCCUAGCAGCUUGUGAGAACAACCUGCCCCCAAACACCAACCCAACAACAAAACCCCC